GACGUAGGGCGCGAGCGUUGUCCGGAUUUAUUGGGCGUAAAGAGCGUGUAGGCGGCUUUACAGGUCCGUUGUGAAAACCCGAGGCUUAACCUCGGGCCUGCGGUGGAUACGGGCAGACUAGAGGUAGGUAGGGGAGAACGGAAUUCCCGGGUGUAGCGGUGAAAUGCGCAGAUAUCGGGAGGAACACCGGUGGCGAAGGCGGUUCUCUGGGCCUUACCUGACGCUGAGGAGCGAAAGCGUGGGGAGCGAACAGG
rnacentral:rRNA from 1 species